AAAGUCUGACCUGCCCUAUGAAUUAAAUUUUAAAUGGCCGCGGUAUUUUGACCGUGCAAAGGUAGCAUAAUAAUUAGUUUUUUGAUUGAGAACUGGUAUGAAAGGUUUGACGAGGAAAAAACUGUCUCAGUUUAAUUUAAAUUAGAAUUUUAUUUUUGAGUUAAAAAGCUUAAAUAAUUUUAAAAGACGAGAAGACCCUAUAGAAUUUUAUAUUAAUAUUUAUAUUUAAAAGUUUAAGUAUUAUAGAUUUAAAUAUAAGUAUAAAUAUUUAGUUGGGGCAACUAAAAAAUUUAAUUAACUUUUUUUAUAUUAAAACAUUGAUAUAUGAAUAAAUGAUCCA
rnacentral:rRNA from 1 species